rnacentral:rRNA from 1 species
GGGCUUGACAUCCCACGAACCUGCCCGAAAAGGUGGGGUGCCCGCAAGGGAGCGUGGAGACAGGUGGUGCAUGGCUGUCGUCAGCUCGUGUCGUGAGAUGUUGGGUUAAGUCCCGCAACGAGCGCAACCCUCACCCCUAGUUGCCACCGGGUUAAGCCGAGCACUCAAGGGGAACUGCCAGCGUCAAGCUGGAGGAAGGCGGGGAUGACGUCAAGUCAUCAUGCCCCUUACGCCCUGGGCUACACACGUGCUACAAUGGCCAGUACAGAGGGACGCGAGACUGCGAAGUGGAGCUAAUCCCAAAAAGCUGGUCUAAGUUCAGAUUGCAGUCUGCAACUCGACUGCAUGAAGGAGGAAUCGCUAGUAAUCGCGUAUCAGCCCGGCGCGGUGAAUACGUUCCCGGGCCUUGUACACACCGCCCGUCACACCACGAAAGCUGUCUGUACUCGAAGUCGCUGAG